GAUGAACGCUGGCGGCGUGCCUAACACAUGCAAGUCGAGCGAACAGACGAGGAGCUUGCUCCUCUGACGUUAGCGGCGUACGGGUGAGUAACAUGUGGAUAACCUACCUUCAAGACUGGGAUAACUUCGGGAAACCGGUGCUAAUACCGGAUAAUCUUUUCAUCCGCAUGUUUCAAUAGUUAAUGACGGUUUUGCUGUUACUUAUAGAUUGAUCCCCGCCGCAUUAGCUAGUUGGUAAGGUAACGGCUUACCAAGGCCACGAUGAGUAGCCGACCUGUGCGGGUGCUGGGCGGCUGUGGGACUGAGACGCGGCCCAGACUCCUACGAGAGGCAGCAGUGGGGAAGCUGCCGCGAUGAGCGAAAGCCUGACGGAGCAACGCCGCAGGAGUGAUGCAGGACUUCGGAUCGUAAACGUGUGGUAUUAGGGAAGAACUAAUGUCGAAGUGACUAGGCGCGUCUUGACGGUACCUAAAGAAGAAGCAACGGCUAACUACGUG
rnacentral:rRNA from 1 species